CAGAAUAGCAUCUAUUUUUUAUUUUAAAUUACCAGGGACACAUGUAUUCGGUCACUAUUAAAAAUGUACAUAUUUGUACGCUUGGUUGUGAUACGCUAUGAACGUUUUACCUCAGAAGUGACGAGAAAGUAAAGCACCCAGAAACAAGAAAUCUGACCACUCUAAACAACUGAAUUUAUCUACAACCCUACUGAGAGCAGCUACUUACAAUAAUGAAGCUACAGAAGGUACUUACGCGCCACUCUGGACCUGCAUGGAACCAAUUUCAUUGUUGUGCCAGCCCAUUGCCUGCAGGGAAGGGUAGUCAUCACACAGCUCCCACCGUCUGCCCAUCAUGUUCUCACACUCCCACACACACAUGCGGGACUCCUUGUGGCACUGUUUCAACACAAAGUAGGACUUUAAAUCCUGUCACUUGCUUAUGAUCCCUGCCUACAUUCAAUACCCUCAUAAUGCUUAGAGUCAGUAAAUAAAAUGUAAGUUAACUAAA